UGCCGCAGGGAAGCCGUUAAGCCCGCCGCCUGGGGAGUACGGCCGCAAGGCUGAAACUUAAAGGAAUUGGCGGGGGGGCACACAAGGGGUGGAGCCUGCGGCUCAAUUGGAGUCAACGCCGGGAACCUCUACCGGGGGCGACAGCAGGAUGACGGCCAGGCUAACGACCUUGCCCGACGCGCUGAGGGGAGGUGCAUGGCCGUCGCCAGCUCGUGCUGUGAAGUGUCCUGUUAAGUCAGGCAACGAGCGAGACCCCCGCCCCUAGUUGCGACCCUGCGGGCGACCGCGGGGGCACACUAGGGGGACUGCCGCCGCUAAGGCGGAGGAAGGAGGGGGCCACGGCAGGUCAGCAUGCCCCUAAACCCCCGGGCUGCACGCGGGCUACAAUGGCGGGGACAGCGGGAUCCGACCCCGAAAGGGGGAGGCAAUCCCUGAAACCCCGCCGUAGUUGGGAUCGGGGGCUGAAACUCGCCCCCGUGAACCUGGAAUCCCUAGUAACCGCGCGUCACCAUCGCGCGGUGAAUACGUCCCUGCCCCUU
rnacentral:rRNA from 1 species